rnacentral:hammerhead_ribozyme from 1 species
AUCUAUCUGACGAGUCCCAACUAGGACGAAACGCGCGUUCUGAAU